CCGUGAUUGUGCUCCCUCCCGGCGCAUGCGUCGUGGACCCGGGGCUCCGCGGCCGGUCGGGCUCUGCACUCGCCCCUCCCCUCGCGGCCGUCUUCCCCGGAGCGUCCGGGCGCGCAUGCGACUUUCCCCGUUAGGCAGCCCCGAGCCGCGCCGCGCCGCGCGGAGCUGCGCCACGGAAUCCCAGGCGCCCGAGGAAACUCCACUCCUGCGGGCCGGCGUGUGCUCGUUCUGCAGCCGCAGAGGGAAGCGGGGAUGCCCCGGGGUCCCCUCCCCCCCCCACGCAGGCCGGGAGGCGGGGCCUGGCGGAGGGUGCGGCCGCCCGCAGAGGUUUGGGAGGCUCUGGGCUCCCUGGGAUGCAGCGCUCUCUUCCUGUGGGAGCCACCGGCCCGACGAGGGCCUCGGUCUCUUGAAAAGCAAAGAGCUUAACUGACGCCAAGUUAAACUUCUCCAACCCGACUUGGAACAGGUCGGCUUCCUCUCCUGGAGGCAGGACACUUCGCAGUUACUACCAAGAAGGACUGCUUUCCAAUGGACUUGAAUCUGGAAGAAUAAAGCCUUUCCAUGUGUGACUAAUGAAAAAGAAGGCACCUCGAAGGGGGAAAAAAAAAAAAAAAAAGCAGAUUCAAAGGGGGAAGUGUAGCCUAGAGGCUUGAUGUCCGACUUUAGGGGCUAGAUUGAUUCCUCAGGAAGUUUCAGUUAAAGUAAUAAAUACACUCCUGAAUGUAUUUUCUUUAUUGCUUAAACCAAUGAGAGCUUUUUUGUCACAGACUACUUAGCGUCUUGAUCACUGGUAGUAAAAAAAAAAAAAAAAAAAGAAGUAGGUUAAUCAUGCUGAUGAAGUUCCUAGGUUGCAGCCAGACAAGGGAGCCUGAAUACUUUUCCUAGGUUGAAUGUUUCAGUUUUAGUCUAGAGGAAGUCCUUUUUUACAUUCAAUCUUCUCUAGUACAUACAUCUUCAAAAUGACCUUUGCCCCCUUUAAUGAUUUCAUUGUCCUUUUAGUUACCUAUGACUCCUCACAUUCUGUGUUUAAUUAUUUACCAAGACCUGAUGAAAAUCCCGUGAUUUUUCUGCUCAGUCCUCUGCCACGGUUUGAGUAUUUCCCACAGCUGAUUUCCCCGUGAAGUUCUUCAUCUGUAAAAUGAGGAUAACAGUUUCAGCUCAUAGGACAAUUAGAGGCAAUUGUGUAUUAACACUAUCUGCUAUGUAAAUUACAUGUCAAGUAUUGGCCACUUCAAUUUUUUGUAAUUAAAAUUUAAUUACAUCAUCUACCCCCUUCCCUUUCUUCCCUGCAGUCCUUCCCAUGAUCCACACCUUGCUCUCUCUCAAACUCAUGGCCUCUAUUUCUCUAAUUUGUGUUAUGUGUAUACAUUCCUAAAUAUAUAAAUACAGCCUACUUAGUUUGUAUAAUGUUACCCAUAUGGAUAUGAUUUCAGGGCUCUUGACACUUGAUAUUGGAUAACCAGUUUAGGGGCUCUUCUCUGGGAAGGCUGUUUUUCCCCAAUUUUAGCAUUCCUUAGUUGCCUGUAGUUUUUUGUCAAGGGUUGAGGCCCCAUGAGAUUUACCCCUUCUGUAUUAGCAUGUCUAUUGGUGUCUUGUUUAGGCAGUCAUAUUGUUGAGACUUCACAGGUGCAGUUUCUUUGACAUUUCUAGGAAACUGGCACAGCAAAUUUCCUGUUCUGUUUCUUAUCAUCUUUCUGCCUCCUCUUCCACUAGGAUUCCCGAAACUUAG
rnacentral:lncRNA from 1 species